GAUCGCUGCUCGCUCUGAUCCAUCCUGCUCACACUCUCCGACGGAAAAGCCUCGGAACGUCAUCAGCUGCUUUGUUUCUAUUGCAGCUGUUAGCUAAACACGGCUAAAGCAGACCUGCUACCACUUCAGGAUCUGGGACUGAGUCAUCAUCUGGAUCUGGACAACAUGGAUACAGUGGCUGAGCGGAGAGCUGACCAGGAACAACGGUGGUGGCAAAACCCAGUUGGGUCUGUGAUGGAAUGAUGCACGCCUGGAGUGAUUGCCAUCUCAUCCACAGGUUCUAACAUCAGGCAGAGGGAUACUCGUGUCCUGAAGAAACCUGCAGCCUGUUGAACCCACUGAAAAACAGCUGUACGGCCUUUUUGAUUGUCUGUUUACUCCAUUUAAUGCCUCUUGUGUUUUUCAUGCCUUUUUGACUUUCUAUUUCCUCCCUUAGGUUUUCC
rnacentral:lncRNA from 1 species